CCAUACACAUAGCGUAGAUAAACGUACGAGUAGGUAACUUAUACUUCAGUGUAAAUAUGAAGUUUAGACUAAACAAUAAUUCUCCUAUACGAUAAAUUGCAAUAAUUAAUUUUCCGAUUAUGUUACGAAUUUAUAUAAACGAUCAAGUGCUAAAUACAUUUUUAUCUCAUGUGAGUAUUUUGGUAGCUAAAACUUUAGCAAUGGAGCUUUUGAUGAAGUGGCAAAUAUUGAAAUGUAAGCUAAAACAUAGAUCGAAAAAUGGAAGCAAAAGUAAACAAAACGAUGCACAAAUUUCUGAAAGAAUACAACGUAUUUCAAGAGCUCAUCUGAACGAUAUUGAAAAUAUCCCCAUAUUCAUAGCAAUAGCAU